GAAAGCGAAGAGAAAAAGGAAGAAAUAGCAGCAACAGGAGGAGCAAAACCACCGGAAGAAGUUAUUGGGAAUCAUUCAAAGAAAGCUAAAAUCAUCCAAGGAGAAGAAAAACAGCAAGAGAUAGAAGCUGAGGGGCCAUCAGCUUCAACUAGAGGGAAAAAGAAAGAAGAGGGACAAUCAGAACAGAGGGGACCACCACCAAGGAGAAGCAGCAGGAGGAAAAGCAAACCCAUGAAGAGCAGUUUUUCAGGUAGUGAUUAUACAUAUAAUUAAUUUCAUAUGUUGAAAUCAUGGAAGAAGAUGAAAAGAAAAAAAAAAUUGAGAAUCAAAUGAACUUUUUCUUUAUGAUUUUGAAGUUUCUAUAAGCUUCUGGAUGGAUGCCAUGAUUUGCUGCUCUUUCUUUCAUGUGUAAAACCACAAAGAAGGAGUUAACUUUGUCUUUACAAAGUGAAUUCUACCUUGUAAAUAAUCUUUCUUGAUUAUUAUCAUUUUGAUAUCCGAGAUAGAGAAAUCCCAGCUGACAGGAUUGCUCAUUUGUCAUGAUUAAUCAAAUAGGUUUUAGAGAUUUUUUUAGGGUAUUGCCUUAAUUAGAUAGUAAUUAAUUAGGAGAAGAGGACUGAUGAAAAAUCAGAAGUAGCUGUGUUAUGCUUCCAGCAACUGGUCUUUAUUAUCAAGAUGAUGGAGAUCGAGAAGAUCAAGAAAGUUACUUGCCCAGAAGAAGACCAAAAUGGAUGCCAACCCAUGGCCUGUAACGGCACGUGACUUUCACGCCCUCCAAAAUUAUGAACGAGCCAUGGCCCCAGCCGCCUCAGCAAACCAAUUACUGACAUUGAUAGUUGGAACACGGAAGUAUGUUCUGACAUGACAUUGCGUGCUGUUCACGCCCUCAUGCCAACUUGAAACGAACAAGUGAAAGCGCCAAUUAACAAGGUUCGUAGCGGAAGAAAUAGAGUAAUAAAAAAACAAGGUCAAAAAAAGAAAGACAUCGUGGCGGGUGAACUGAGGACAAACUUCGGAGUUUUUAAUUGGAUGCGGAAGAAAAGAUCGCAGCUGAGUCGUUUGGAUUCACGCGCUAAUCCAGGUGGGAUCCAUCCGUAUCUGUAAGAGGGGCCCAGGAAAGAGGUUUUGGUGGUCCAUCGACCAGUCCGCCCAGUAACAACUUCUGGACAAAGCUACUGUUUGAUUGGCUUGUCCUUGUAUGGUGCAGUGGGAGUGUGUUUAAUUUAAAUUUAAUAUUUAUCAGA
rnacentral:misc_RNA from 1 species